CACGAGGCAGAGGGAGUUACGUUUAAAAGGUUUCCAUUUACGCCAUUCGAAAGACGCCCUCAUCCAGAGAAAUUUAUCUCAUUUGUAUAAAUGAGCAGCUAUGAGGUUAAGGGCCUCACUCUGGGGCCCAGGAGUUUAUCCCAGGAAGUGAAAGGAAUCCUGAGCCAAAACGGCUCCCAAGACGACGAGCCGAAGCGACAAAUACGUCCGAGUGGUGUGGAGUGACGUCCAUCAUGGAACGACCUGCUCAGUCACUGCACCUAACUGCUACUGAUCUGCUCUGGGAUGAACAAGAAACCUCCAAGUAGUGAAGAACAUCUUCAGAAUGUUUUGGAGAAACAAGUGUCCGGAUGCUGAGAUCGUCUAAAGCCGUUCUUCACGCUGAGAGAGGACUGUUUUAUUAAAAAAUAGAGCGCAACAUCUGGACGUUUCUAGAUUAGUUUGGUCAAUGGAAAUCUUCAGAAAGUUACAUCACCGAGUUUAUUGCAUAGAAACACAAGGGAUGCGCACGUGUCUCCAAAAACUCUCCAAAAACUCUCCAUGUUCUAGAAACAAAAAAUGGGUUAUGACGAGUUAUAACGCCUGUACACCCCUGUUCAGUUUCAUCUUUAAUCUUAUCUGCUCUUUCCAGUCUUUAAAUGUCCCAAAAGGAGGAGAGAAACUUGGUGUGCAUUUUUUUAUGUCCCUCCUCCACCAGAUGCUUUUCUGAUCACCACACAGAUGACAGAUGAUUGGCUGAUCGGACAAUCACGUAAAUGAACAUGUGUACAGAUGUUCCUAUUGAGGAGUUUUGAAUAUGGUUGAACUUCUAUAUGAUUUUUAAUAAGUGGUUUGAGAUGCAGGAUGAAUUCUGGACGAAUCAGAAUUUUAAAUAUAAAGAGAAAAAGCACCAGGGUUGAACUCCAAUAGCUUAGUUAUAAAUCUCACUGUGCCUUUAAUUACUAUGCAAAUAAAUGUUAUCUUCUGGCACUACUUUAUCUCUGGGUGUGACUCGGAGCAGAAGGGUUUUAUAUAUAGAAUGCGUAAUAAAAAUGAUUUCGAUUCAUUCAGGUCAGUUUUGCUCUGAACAUCAACAACAGCUUGAACUCCUCAAUGUGACCAUGGGAGAAGAUGAUCAUCCACGGCUACGUGUGAAGUCUUACACCAUUAUAACUGGUCGUUCUUCACCUCCACAUCCUGCACUAACAUCCUGUAACAGCUGGAUUAUCAGUUACAUAUUAUACAGAGGUCUUACUUGAGGCAAUAACGUGGUGUCGUUUUGCAGAAGUGUAACGCACAACUCAUCGCAGUCCAGUUCCAGCAGUUUGUGUUGGCAAAGAACGCCGACGUUGUGCUCUGAAUAGAGAUCGUGGCUGAAUAAACACUCGUCUCUGAAUUGGCAAA